UACGUAGGGUGCAAGCGUUAAUCGGAAUUACUGGGCGUAAAGCGUGCGCAGGCGGUUAUGUAAGACAGGUGUGAAAUCCCAGGGCUUAACCUUGGAACUGCAUUUGUGACUGCAUAGCUAGAGUACGGUAGAGGGGGAUGGAAUUCCGCGUGUAGCAGUGAAAUGCGUAGAUAUGCGGAGGAACACCGAUGGCGAAGGCAAUCCCCUGGACCUGUGACUGAC
rnacentral:rRNA from 1 species